GCCAGGCAUUGUGGUGGUCGCCUGUGGUCCCAGCUACUUGGGAGGCGGAGGCAGGAGACUCACUUGAGCCUAGGAGUUGGAGGUUGCUGUGAGCUGUGAUGCCACAGCACUCUACCUAGGAGGACAGCUUGAGGCUCUGUCUCAAAAAAAAAAAAGAUAAGAGUCUCACUUUAUCGUCCUUGGUAGAAUAGUGUGGUAUCACAGCUCACAGCAAUCUCCAGCUCUUGGGCUUAGGUGAUUCUCUUGCC
rnacentral:sRNA from 1 species